UCAGGUAGAAAUAACAAAGCCUAUUCUCCCUGAUUUAGGUUUUCCAUGUUGGGCAUUUACCAUUGCUAAGUCUAACCGGAUAUGUGGUUGGGUUGGGUCUUAAACUCUUGUCAAACCCAAAAAAUUUCAAAUUGGACAUUUAAUAAAUAUAUCUUUGGAAGCUAUUUAAUCUAGUAGUUUGAUUGAAAGUUCACUUUUACAUCAAAAAAUUUGGAUUUCAAAUCUCAGGAAAGGUGAUUUGUUAAAACAAUAUUAAUAGAAGAAAAUCUUACAAGAGCAUGUAAACUUGGUUGGGUGUAGAUUUUUAU
rnacentral:lncRNA from 1 species